ensembl:lncRNA
CUUCAGUGUGCCAGAGACACGAGUCACGUAUUAAGCUCCUCCGUAAGUCGACUUUUAAAAUGAUUAACUAACCAUAUAAGGCUUUGAAGUGCUCCCUCAUCUCUAACGUGCAUGCAGCUCACACUCUUCUAAGCAGAGAAAAGAAAGAAGAAAAUGCUUCGGGGAAAAAAAUUAUUUAUCUUUGAAGCUGGAAAUACAAAUGGGGCUCAUCGUCGCAUUGUUGAAAGGUUGAAAGAUGUUGGCCAAGCAGAGGUGAACGCUCUAAAUGAAUGUGACUAUCUUCUGGUUUUCUGUCCUGUUGUUUCACGAGUCGGAACGGACAUCGGAGAGGCUCUGGACAACAUGCCCCGUGGUAAACCAGUAAUACUGGUGGUGAUGCAUCCCACCUUCAAUCCAGAUUAUGUUGUAGCUGAAAGCCGGAGACAAGUGACCAACCCAAAUGUCUGCCUCACUGUGGACUGUCUGUUUCGUGAUGGCAAGCUCCUCGACUCUAAACUUAACGAUAAGAUGUGGAAUGAAAUAGAAGAACUUUUGGAAGUUUCCCCUUUCCAGGUUUCGUGGUUCAGAACGAUAAAAUAUUUGAUGAAUCCUCGAGUACUUGGGAUUGCUGCUCUAACUGCUGUAGUGAUCUAUGUGUAUUUCAACAGUCCUGAUAUAAAAAAGAAAAUAGGGCUGUGAGAGGAGUCCCUGGAUAGCAAAAUCAAAAGGAAUCUAUUUAUUAAGGUCAAGGAGUCACAUGGCUAAGUUCAAGGCCAAGUUGGAAAUAAUUACAUAAUCACAUAUUUUAGGUAAUCGAUUCAGCAACAACAACAACAAUAACAAUAACAACAAUAAUAAGGAGAAAGAUUAUUAGGACAUUAUAGGACAUUUUUCUAGCCAUGUCAUUAAUGCAGACAGCAAACUAGAUGCACAUUUUCAUGAAAACAAAUUGUCCUAUAAAACAACACUGUAUAUCUGUGCACUGCUGUGCUGAUAUACAGUGUUAUUUUACUAAAAUCAUUUCACACAUCAGGGGUAUCUUGUUGGUUAUAUUGCAACUUGAUGAAGCUAUAAAUAAAAGCAAAUCAUCUCUAUGAUGUAAUUCUGCUGAUUUGUCCAAAUAAUCUUAUUAAAACUAAAUUUGUGAAUAACAAAUUCAAAUGUUUCAUAUUUCUGUUGCUUGUCUAUGUGAGUAAACUCUUACUUAACAUAACAUCCUUUAACCAGCAAUACCUUGACUGCAUUUUGCCUGUAAUUUAUACAGACAUGUUACAUUUUGUUUAUAUCUGUUAUUGAAUUGUAUUUUUGUUGUAUUACUUUCACAUCAGUAAAUAAUGGGGUGCAACUCCAAGGUGCAACUUUCCUACCUUCUGGAAAUAUUUGUUUAUUUACAGCUGAGUUGAAUUGCACAAACCACUGUAAAUAAAUGUAAAUAAAACAGGAAAAGAGUUGAAAUGUUUUAGCAUUAACUGUCCUAAACAUAAAAAAUGAAGUCCUUCCUUUGAGUCAAAAACAACAGCAGGGUGUGAUAUAGAGCGGGACAACCUUAUGAAUGACAAGUUGAUACCAUAUGAACAUGCACUGUGUUUCUAAUCAAUCAGUGUGGCUACAUGAAUCUCCUAUAUGUAGUAUUUUUUCUUAGGUAAUGUAAAUAUAAACAUAUUUGGAUCUGAUAUUUGUCAGAUCUGGACUCAAAACGUGAAUCUGAUAUCAGUGAAAACAAUGUGAUAUGGCCAAUCUAUUCAAAUUACUAUCAUAUUGUUUACUAGACCAUGCAGAAUCAGCAUCAGUAACCAAGAGAGCUGAGACAACACAGAGGAAAAUGAAGGCUAAGUGAAAGGCAUUUCACUGUAGCUAACCACCAGUAUUUACUUGCAUGUUGGCAAAUGUUUUUAACUUAAGAGCAACUGUGGUCAAGUGAGCUGACACUGCUAUUUCUCUCUCUCGCUCACUCUCACUGUCCGUGCAUGUAGUGACAAUAAAUUCUUUUACUGCACUUACAGUAACAUAACAUGUUGUCCCCAAGUGUGUGAGUUUUAUUUAAUGUCAGCUGUUGCAUGUGUUUGUGUGCAUGUGUGUAUGAUGGUAUGAACAGUAAAAGGACUGAGAAAAGGAAAGAAGAAACUAGCGUGACUAUAAAUCAUAAAGUGAACACCUUUUGUUCAUUUUUUAAUUUAAAUAUUUUUGUCCUGAUGUCACUAAUAAAUAAUUAUUAGGUACAUUUACAUUCAAAACAAAUUAGGGAAGUAAUA